rnacentral:rRNA from 1 species
CCUACGGGUGGCAGCAGUGGGGAAUAUUGGACAAUGGGGGGAACCCUGAUCCAGCCAUGCCGCGUGUGUGAAGAAGGCCCUCGGGUUGUAAAGCACUUUCAGUGAGGAAGAACGCCUGGUGGUUAAUACCCAUCAGGAAAGACAUCACUCACAGAAGAAGCACCGGCCAACUCCGUGCCAGCAGCCGCGGUAAUACGGAGGGUGCGAGCGUUAAUCGGAAUUACUGGGCGUAAAGCGCGCGUAGGUGGCUUGAUAAGCCGGUUGUGAAAGCCCCGGGCUCAACCUGGGAACGGCAUCCGGAACUGUCAAGCUAGAGUGCAGGAGAGGAAGGUAGAAUUCCCGGUGUAGCGGUGAAAUGCGUAGAGAUCGGGAGGAAUACCAGUGGCGAAGGCGGCCUUCUGGACUGACACUGACACUGAGGUGCGAAAGCGUGGGUAGCAAACAGGAUUAGAUACCCCAGUAGUC